rnacentral:rRNA from 1 species
AGUGAACGCUGGCGGUAGGCCUAACACAUGCAAGUCGAACGGCAGCACAGUAAGAGCUUGCUCUUACGGGUGGCGAGUGGCGGACGGGUGAGGAAUACAUCGGAAUCUACUUUUUCGUGGGGGAUAACGUAGGGAAACUUACGCUAAUACCGCAUACGACCUACGGGUGAAAGCAGGGGAUCUUCGGACCUUGCGCGAUUGAAUGAGCCGAUGUCGGAUUAGCUAGUUGGCGGGGUAAAGGCCCACCAAGGCGACGAUCCGUAGCUGGUCUGAGAGGAUGAUCAGCCACACUGGAACUGAGGCACGGUCCAGACUCCUACGGGAGGCGGCAGUGGGGAAUAUUGGACAAUGGGCGCAAGCCUGAUCCAGCCAUACCGCGUGGGUGAAGAAGGCCUUCGGGUUGUAAAGCCCUUUUGUUGGGAAAGAAAAGCAGCAGGUUAAUACCCCGCUGUUCUGACGGUACCCAAAGAAUAAGCACCGGCUAACUUCGUG